UACGGAGGGAGCUAGCGUUAUUCGGAAUUACUGGGCGUAAAGCGCACGUAGGCGGCUUUGUAAGUAAGAGGUGAAAGCCCAGAGCUCAACUCUGGAAUUGCCUUUUAGACUGCAUCGCUUGAAUCAUGGAGAGGUCAGUGGAAUUCCGAGUGUAGAGGUGAAAUUCGUAGAUAUUCGGAAGAACACCAGUGGCGAAGGCGGCUGACUGGACAUGUAUUGACGCUGAGGUGACGAAAGCGUGGGGAGCAAACAGG
rnacentral:rRNA from 1 species